rfam:Lepisosteus oculatus linkage group LG26, whole genome shotgun sequence.
GCCAGCAGCUAUAUCUCUCUGCAACUCACAACUAGCAAACCACUGAAGUUAAGCUGGUGUGAGCCUGGCCAGUACCUGGAUGGGAGACCUCCUGGGAAAAACUAAGGAUGCUGCUGGAA